rfam:Flavobacterium sp. LM5 Flavobacterium_sp_LM5_contig1, whole genome shotgun sequence.
AGUGAACUUCGUUUGCAGUGAAAAUCCUUUUUGAGGCUUUUUCUGACUCAAAAAGAUUGUAACGUAAAGCCCGACUCUUG